AAGGAUCAUUGUCGUGACCCUGACCAAAACAGACUGCGCACGCGUCAUCCAAUCCGUCGGCGACGGCACCGUCCGUCGCUCGGCCAAUGCCUCGACCACCUCCCCUCCUCGGAGCGGGUGGGGGCUCGGGGUAAAACAACCCACGGCGCCGAAGGCGUCAAGGAACACUGUGCCUAACCCGGGGGCAUGUCUAGCUUGCUAGCCGUCCCUCGUGUUGCAAAUCUAUUUAAUCCACACGACUCUCGGCAACGGAUAUCUCGGCUCUCGCAUCGAUGAAGAACGUAGCGAAAUGCGAUACCUGGUGUGAAUUGCAGAAUCCCGCGAACCAUCGAGUCUUUGAACGCAAGUUGCGCCCGAGGCCACUCGGCCGAGGGCACGCCUGCCUGGGCGUCACGCCAAAACACGCUCCCAACCACUCUCAACGGGAAUCGGGAUGCGGCAUCUGGUCCCUCGUCUCUCAAGGGACGGUGGACCGAAGAUUGGGCUGCCGGCGUACCGCGCCGGACACAGCGCAUGGUGGGCGUCCUUGCUUUAUCAAUGCAGUGCAUCCGGCGCGCAGCUGGCAUUAUGACCUUUGAACGACCCAACAAACGAAGCGCACGUCGCUUCGACCGCGACCCCAGGUCAGGCGGGACUACCCGCUGAGUUUAA
rnacentral:rRNA from 1 species